UCCCUGGUGGCUCAGUGGUAGAGAAUCUGCCUGUGAAGCAAGAGACCCAGGUUUGAUCCCUGGGUUGGAAA
rnacentral:tRNA from 1 species